rnacentral:rRNA from 1 species
CUACGGGAGGCAGCAGUGAGGAAUAUUGGUCAAUGGGCGCAAGCCUGAACCAGCCAUCCCGCGUGGAGGAAGACGGCCCUAUGGGUUGUAAACUCCUUUUAUAAGGGAAGAAUAUACGUAUCGUGAUAUGUUUUGACGGUACCUUAUGAAUAAGCAUCGGCUAACUCCGUGCCAGCAGCCGCGGUAAUACGGAGGAUGCAAGCGUUAUCCGGAUUCAUUGGGUUUAAAGGGUGCGCAGGCGGACCAAUAAGUCAGUGGUGAAAUCUUACGGCUCAACCGUGAAACUGCCAUUGAUACUGUUAGUCUUGAGUACGGCUGAGGUAGGCGGAAUGUGUAAUGUAGCGGUGAAAUGCUUAGAUAUUACACAGAACACCAAUUGCGUAGGCAGCUUACUAGACCGUAACUGACGCUGAGGCACGAAAGCGUGGGUAGCGAACAGGAUUAGAUACCCCUGUAGUC